CCUGCCAGCAAAACAGGAAAUGGGGAAUCAAACAAAGCAAGACCAAAGAAAAGUCUACUCACGCCAGCCCAGUGUGAGUUUCCCGCCUGUUUAGUGUGCCUGUGCGUCUCUGUCUUGGGCCAGCGCCACCCUGGGACCUGAAUGAUGCUUAUCGGAGCCGAUGGUGAACUGACUGCCUGAUCAGGGCUCAUGGCAUCACCAGGUGCAGCUCGGCAAGGCAUGGUCAGCAAACCCCACACUGAAGAAAGACGUCAAGAUACCCAACCAGCCAGGACUCCUAUGAAAGAGACUGCAGAUGCUAUGCAAAGUCACAGCAGCUCAAGGAGACUUUGUAAUUGUAGCUGGCCCAGAGCUGAUGCUAAACAUAGCUUAUUUCCUGGUUCCUGAGGCUCACAGCCCUACAGAUUCAUCCUGAAACCAAAUUAACCAGUUUUUGGUGCUUCUUAAAAACAAAACAAAACAAAACAAAACAAAAGACAGAACUCUGACCCUGAUUGCUGGUGACCCAAUAGGACUCUCUGAUUUCUUUUCAUAAGUGAGCAUAUUAUUCAAGGCCUCAUUUUCUAAGUUGCCACACAGGAGAUUAGAUCAAAAGCGGAAAGGAGAGAAGAGAGGAGUUGAGGAAGCAGAAAGGAAGACGCACGACAGCCAGAUCCAGGCUCUGGCCUCAGUGAAGGGGAUCUUCUCACCUCUCAUUCCCAUUACCUGGGGGGGUAGACCUCCGCUAUAGUGGGGGUAGAGCAUCCCAUGAAGAAGAGAGGGGCACAGAGGAUCAUGGAGAUGGUGAUGAUGGUGGCAGCCACGCGGGGAAUGGUUUGCAGAGAGAAAACGAAACGUUUCAUGAGGAUUCCUCCAAACAGCAUCCCCAAGGCCGCGGCAGGGAGGUUCACAGCACCUACAGGUAAAGAGAAGCUGGUCUGGGUGUACAGGACUGGGAGUCUUGUGAGGAGCCGCAGACACUGAGCUGAACCAUGGACAAGGAGACACGACUACCUGAAGGGACAUUUGAUACAUUCAAAUGCUGUGGUAAGAGCUGACAUUAAUUCAGCGCUUACUGUUUGCCAGACACAUCUACAGAGUUCUCUUGAUGUAGCAGAUUGUCCUGCUUGUGCAAAGGAGAGAGAAAUAAAUGGGGCCCUUGCAGUC